GACAUUUGGUAGAGACUGUUGAAGCCACCUGGUCCCAGCAGACCCCAGAAAAAUGGCCACAUUCACUGGUGCUGGAACGAGGUCGUUAAGGGUGAAAGCCUGGUGCCAGAUGUGU
rnacentral:rRNA from 1 species